UACGAAGGGGGCUAGCGUUGCUCGGAAUCACUGGGCGUAAAGCGCACGUAGGCGGCUUUUUAAGUCAGGGGUGAAAUGCCAAGGCUCAACCUUGAAACUGCCUUUGAUACUGGAGACCUUGAGUCCGGGAGAGGUGAGUGGAAUUGCGAGUGUAGAGGUGAAAUUCGUAGAUAUUCGCAAGAACACCAGUGGCGAAGGCGGCUCACUGGCCCGGAACUGACGCUGAGACGCGAAAGCGUGGGGAGCAAACAGG
rnacentral:rRNA from 1 species